rnacentral:tRNA from 1 species
AUCUUCUUAGUAUAAAUAGUACUACUGACUUCCAAUCAGUGAGACCUAGAUCAAUAGAGGGAGAAGAUA